UGUAAACGAGUUGCCACAGCAUAACAUAAAUUCUAAAGAAAAAUAUAGAAGUUCCCUUCUGUGAGUGUGUAUCAGAUGCAUCAUGCAUUAAUACUCUGGAAUUUACAAUAUGAACUCUAUAAUCAGAGAAUGUAGAUUUGAAGUUUGAUCCAUUUACAGCUGACAAAUUUUAAUAUCAAGUUUCUAUAGAUAUAAAACUACUGCAGAACUAUCUUCUUUAGCAUCGAUCUUUG
rnacentral:misc_RNA from 1 species